CUCUCCCUCCCUCAAAUCCGCUCCCAACCCACUCCCGUAGUCCCACCUCUCCCCGCAGCCCGCUCCCACUCCCACACCACGGCACCACCGCACUAGGCGCACUGCGCCCAGGCAACCACUGCCACUUCCCCGCCACCCGCCCUCGCCCAUCGCCGCUCCGCCGCCCGCCGCCUGCCCUCACCUAUCGUCCGCUCCACCGCCGCAGCCUCACCCCGCAGAUCCACCCGCCGCCACACCCUCUCUGGCCUCUCCUCACCGACCCACCACCGCACGCCUCCCUCUCCGUCCCUCAAAUCCGCUGCCACUCCCCGCCGCCACCCACUCUGCCUCUCCCCGCAGAUCCACCCGCCGCCACCCCCUCUCUGGCCUCUCCUCUCUCCUCACUGGGCUCCUCCCGCGGGGCGGCGACGGCAGCAAGCGAGCUCCCCCGCGGGCAACAAAGCGUGGGGCAGGGCCGCCUCCCGCAUCCGGCCUACGAGCGGUGCGACGUAGGGCGGCCCCAAUCCCUCAGCCUGUCUGUGAGCGCCAUGACACGGGGUGGGGCCGCCUCCCUCCACCUGCCGGCGAGCAGCACGGGAUGGGGUCGCCUCCCUCGAUGGCCUCCUAGCAGCACAGCAUGAGGCAGGCCUGCCUCCCUCGGCUAGCCUGCUAGGGGCGGCGGGGAGCUUGGACCAGAUCUCUGCUUGCAUCGCAACCAAGGAGCAAGGACUAGAGCUGCUGUGAAGGAUUUGGAUUUGCCUGGCGCUGCAAAGGUACGGGAUCAAGGUAAAAAAUCAUAAACUCCCCACCUAGAUCUGCUGCUUCCAGUGGCAAUCUCAUUGUUAAUCUGAGCAAAAUGUUUGAUUCUUGGAAGUUCAGAGUAGAAUUCUAAUUCUUUUGUAGUGUGCAUCAAAAUUUAUGCAGUAGAAAUGUAGAAGAUAUAGUUCUUGGUAUAGUUCUUUUUAAAGGUGCCCAUAUAUUAAUGUAGCCUUAGCAUAUCAGUUUUUCCCUUUUUUUGAAUUGUAGUGAAAUGACCUGCUAUUGUGGCCUUGUCCUUCAAAUUAUCAACACAUAUUAUAUUAUAUGUUCUGAAAUGUUAACCUGCUAUUGGUAGAUAAGGUGAUGUUUUCACUAUUGGUGUUAACGCUAUACAUGGCAUAAGUUUCCUCUUGAUUGAGUUAUGUCUGUCAUGCAAGCCUAUCUUACAGCUUUUCCUGACUUUAUGCUUGUGGUAAAAGCCUGUGUGCUUGUAAUUCAGAAGGGGAUACAACAGUUAGUUUUACUAGUAUAAAAGCACUGAAGGAUAAAGCAGCUAAGAAACGAGCAUUAGCCAAAAGGAAUCAACAAGAUGGCAAUGGACUGGUGAUUUUUAACUCCGCUACCUGUGAAUAUUUCUGAAUCAGAUUUCUAUCACUGAGUGCAUUUUGUAUAUACCUGAUUGACUUGUAGGCUUGAUCAUAUAACCUUUUCGUAGGAAAUUUUACUUUUGAAUAAUUUUGCAAAUUUAUUUGUAAACCUGCUAGUCUAUAGGAGUUUUUUUUGUUUUCGUUUUCCUCGUCAAUAUGACUGAGAAUGCAAGCAAAUGUCUAUUAGUUUUUAGGAGUUUUUUUUUCUAUUUUCAUUUUCCUCAUUAAUAUGACUGAGAAUGCAAGCGAAUUAUCUAGGGUUUGGAUUGCAAGUUUUGUAAGCCAAUCUCUUUAUUAUCUUUAUUGCUACUAGUUCUUGUGUCAUAUUUAUCAACGAAAUUAGCUAGGCAGCUAUUCUAUUGUGGUUUGAAAAUAUUAUGUACUUGCUGCUACUUGCAUUUGGUUCUCUGAUUAAAUUAGUCUAGACUUUUGGCUUGAUGUGAGUGGAUAUCAGUUGUCCCUUUCUUUAAUUGGCAUGAACACCUGUUGCUAAGUCUGUGAACAAUCGUGCUGGCCAAGAUCAUCUAGUGUUCACAAUCGUGCUGGGCAAGAUCAUCUAGUGUUUCCUAUCGUGACUAUCUCUGGAUAUUUUAUUAGCUUGUUCUGAAGUAGCCUUGCUGUUGCUUACGUUAGUCAUGGAAGGAAUUUUUUAUUGCCGAAGAUCAUUCAUUAACUGAAAGUUGGUCAUUUGAGAAAUAAAAUGAAUUCAUCAUAUAGUCAUUUGAUGGAUAAUUUUACUUUAAAUGAAUCAACAAUUUUCAAACCCAUUAGUCUUUAAUUUAUGAUUCCAAAUUGCUUACCUUCAAAAUGGUUCAGUCCAUGCUAUUGUUGCUAAAAUAAUAUAAUUUCAGUUUACCUGAUGCAUAUACCAAGGUUAAUGAUUUUUUCAGGAGCAAGAUAGAGUUUGAGUGGAGUGCACAAGUGAUGGGAUGGUCAAUGUCAAGCCAACCUUUGCUAUAGUGCUAGACAUAGCUUAUACAUUUUGAUGUGUUCAAACUAGCUAGUGUGAGUCGGAUACCUUAUGUGUUUCAGUUCUGCAUGUGUUAUCGACUAAGUUUGACAUUGGAUGGUUUCAUUAAUGAUUUGUACGAACAAAGCAUAUUUUGGAUUAAUGGAUGUCUAAAUGCCUCUUUCA